GCCCGCGUGACGCAAUGGUUAGCGUGUCAGACUUUUAUAAGAACUGCCUUGUAGAAGUAAUCUGAAAGCUGUGGGUUCGAAUCCCACCGUGGGCG